CCCCGCGCCCGUCCCGCCGCCCCCGCCCGGGCACAAGCGGUGGAGCAUGUGGAUUAAUUCGAUGCAACGCGAAGAACCUUACCAAGGCUUGACAUGAACCGGAAACACCUGGAGACAGGUGCCCCGCUUGCGGUCGGUUUACAGGUGGUGCAUGGUUGUCGUCAGCUCGUGUCGUGAGAUGUUGGGUUAAGUCCCGCAACGAGCGCAACCCUCGUUCUAUGUUGCCAGCACGUGAUGGUGGGGACUCAUAGGAGACUGCCGGGGUCAACUCGGAGGAAGGUGGGGACGACGUCAAAUCAUCAUGCCCCUUAUGUCUUGGGCUUCACGCAUG
rnacentral:rRNA from 1 species